CGGCAGGCCUAACACAUGCAAGUCGAGCGGUAACAUUUCUAGCUUGCUAGAAGAUGACGAGCGGCGGACGGGUGAGUAACGCGUAGAAAUCUACCUAGUAGUGGGGGAUAGCCCAGAGAAAUUUGGAUUAAUACCGCAUACGCCUACCGGGGGAAAGCGGGGGAUCUUCGGACCUCGUGCUAUUAGAUGAGUCUGCGUCGGAUUAGCUUGUUGGUGAGGUAAUGGCUCACCAAGGCGACGAUCCGUAGCUGGUCUGAGAGGAUGACCAGCCACACUGGAACUGAGACACGGUCCAGACUCCUACGGGAGGCAGCAGUGGGGAAUAUUGCACAAUGGGCGCAAGCCUGAUGCAGCCAUGCCGCGUGUGUGAAGAAGGCCUUAGGGUUGUAAAGCACUUUCAGCAGUGAGGAAAGGGGUGUCGUUAAUAGCGCCAUCCUGUGACGUUAACUGCAGAAGAAGGACCGGCUAACUCCGUG
rnacentral:rRNA from 1 species